AGUGAACGCUGGCGGUAGGCCUAACACAUGCAAGUCGAACGGCAGCACAGUAAGAGCUUGCUCUUACGGGUGGCGAGUGGCGGACGGGUGAGGCAUACAUCGGAAUCUACUUGUUCGUGGGGGAUAACGUAGGGAAACUUACGCUAAUACCGCAUACGACCUACGGGUGAAAGCAGGGGAUCUUCGGACCUUGCGCGAUUGAAUGAGCCGAUGUCGGAUUAGCUAGUUGGCGGGGUAAAGGCCCACCAAGGCGACGAUCCGUAGCUGGUCUGAGAGGAUGAUCAGCCACACUGGAACUGAGACACGGUCCAGACUCCUACGGGAGGCAGCAGUGGGGAAUAUUGGACAAUGGGCGAAAGCCUGAUCCAGCCAUACCGCGUGGGUGAAGAAGGCCUUCGGGUUGUAAAGCCCUUUUGUUGGGAAAGAAAAGCAGCAGGUUAAUACCCCGCUGUUCUGACGGUACCCAAAGAAUAAGCACCGGCUAACUUCGUG
rnacentral:rRNA from 1 species